GGGUCACACGUCGCCGGGGGGGUGCCGCGUGCCCAGACUGCGGCCCUGUCCGGAGCGGACUCACUGGGGGGUUCCUUCAGACCGCGGCGGUCAGCAGCCACAGCAAGCUCCGGCAGCCCCGGCGACUGCGUUCGGCAGCCCCAAAGCGGUCAGAGCCGCCGGCCAGCCGCCCGCCAGCCGGCGACAGCUUCCGGGUCGUGGCCUGCGGGAGCGGGGUACGCUGGGAGAGCGGCCCGGUGGAGGAGCGCCACGGGCGCCCCCUGGUGGCGAGGAGCCGUGGCGACGGCGGGCGCGCACAGGGCUCUGCUAGCCUGAGACCCAGAGCCUGCGCUCACCCAGCACCAAGAAAGUCUAGAAGUCUCCAGAACUAGUCCAGGCCCUAUAAAGUAUUGCUUGUAAAUAUCUCUAGCCGCUUAGGAAUUAAAGGGAUAGUGCUGGAGUGUUAGGGAUGAGAAGACAGAAAUCGUUAAUUCACCUAAAGGCAUCUGCAGUCUAACCAAAGGAGAGACACAUAAAAAAGGAAUGCAUUUAAACAUGACGUCAUGAUUAAUGGGACGUGACAUGACAGUUGCAGUAGAAGACAGAGCAAUAAAGUGCAAGCACGAACGACUGGUUCAUAGACACUUCCCCUCAAUCGGCAAACAGAAAGAGAAAGUUACAGAUGCUGUAGAAAGUGGAGAAAGGCUAAUGCUAGUGGAGAAAAAAGGCAACUUCUCAUAAAUUUCGAAGUCAACUGCCUGAAAGAAGCCAUGAGGAGCCUGGGUGUUGUCCUCGUUCUGCCUUCAAUGAUGUGUUGGAGAGUUAACAGCCACCAGAGGGCAGCAGGAGUGUGGUGUACGGAGAAACUGCAUCUUUUCACGUCCUACAAGGAUUGGUGUAGGGACCCGGAAUUCAAAGACGGACUUCAGGUAACUUCUCUUCAGAAAUUC